rnacentral:lncRNA from 1 species
GCCAUCUCUGGACUUCGUGCACACCCGAAUGACAGCCUCUGUCACAAUGUAGCAAUUAUUUAUUAUGUAUCUUUCCCCCUACUAAUUAGAGGGUUCCUUGAGGGCAGGAUAAUGGGUUACCAGGGUGUUCUUCCAGGAUCCCUGAAUGGGCAACUCCCUUCGCUCCCUCUGGCCAUGGUCUAGCUGCUGUCUACAAAGCCCGGACCCCAGAGAAGGACCAUAUCUUUCCACGCACUCAAAUACGUGGCCUCAUGAGCCCACUUUUAAAAGGAGCGCUGAACCCGGAAGAAAAGGAAAGAUGGUUUCAGAAGGCAGGAAAGAACAUCAGCAGGCCAGGCUGCAGGUUCUGGGAACCAAGGCCACCUCCUCUCCCUUUGACAAAGACUGGCUCAGUUCUGAGGCUCGAAGGAGAGUGCUAACGGGGCAAGAACUUGAAUGCAUCACUGAGGUGACAGGCAGCAUGGCCAUGAGAAGAGAUGUUCAGAUUUACUCAUCUAUGGACCCAAAGCCUUCUAGUGGAAUAGUUGUGAAACUGUGCUUUAAAACCCAUCACUCUGCAAAGCCUGUGAAAUGAAGUGGUGCAGCCCCAGUGAGGGAGACACCAUCUUGAGGUGCCAGACUCACAUCAGGAGCUUUCUCCGGCCCCACACUGCAGCCUUUGGUGAUUCAGCCUUCGUGGCAAAUAGCAUCUGCUGCCACCAUUGAUGGAGAGGGGCCGUGCUCAGGAGGCAGGUUGACAGCGGAUUGCUUUAUGGAGAGGCACGGGAGCAGGAGAUGAGAGAAAAGAGGCAAUCACUUCUUCACCUAUGUGCCAUGCACCCUCAUAUCCUCAAACAAACAUUCAUCAAGGACAGGAAACUGAGGCGCGGAUGGGUCCAGUAACCUGACUAGACACAGAGCAUGAAGGCUGAUAGACGCCAAUGGUGGGAACUCCAACACAACUGAAGUCACGCCUCUUGCUACAAAAACCAGGAGGGCUCUGCGGCAACCCAAAGCCAGUGACUGAACCUAGCACCUGUCAGUGCACGUUGUUGCUUCCUUCCCC